rnacentral:rRNA from 1 species
UACGGGGGGGGCAAGCGUUGUUCGGAAUUACUGGGCGUAAAGGGCGCGUAGGCGGCCUGCUAAGUCGGACGUGAAAUCCCUCGGCUCAACCGGGGAACUGCGUCCGAUACUGGUGGGCUCGAAUCCGGGAGAGGGAUGUGGAAUUCCAGGUGUAGCGGUGAAAUGCGUAGAUAUCUGGAGGAACACCGGCGGCGAAGGCGGCCCUCUGGACGGUGACUGACGCUGAGACGCGAAAGCGUGGGGAGCAAACAGG